rnacentral:lncRNA from 1 species
AAAAACUUAUUUUUAUCAUUAUUAUUCAUGACGGCGAUGUUCAUUUUGUUCAACCGCUAGCUUUAUACAGAAAAUCGCCGACAAAUAUUGUAUAAAUUCGAGUAAAAUCGUAUCUGAUUGACAAAAACAACAUUGUAAACACAUAACAAUGGCGGCCGUGAAGACAAAAUUUUACAAAAUCGGAUCCGAUUCCGGAAGCGGAUAAGGGUAAUUCCGGGUUUGGCGAUCAUUUACAAAAUAAAUCCAAGCAGGUGAAAAAAUACAUCUAUGCAUGGUAAAUGAAUAUAAACACUAGUAUUGUAAACCAAAAGAUAUAUGUAAAAGAAAGAAAAAGCAGAAAAAUAUUUUAUUCAGAAACUCAAAAUUACUUUUUGACAAAUUUUAAUUUAAAAAUCCAAUACAACGUGACAGCUGGGAACAGUAUAUCUAACAAUAUACAUGUUCAUGGUCACAGUCUAAAUUUUCUUUAUAAAUGAUAAAUGAUGAUAAUGCAUGUGAGAUGCUUUUAAAGUGUAAACAUAUUACUGCAAUUUCGAGGGGUUAUUUGUUUUUUUCUCAAUUUUGAAGGGUCAAUUAAAGUAGCUGAAAGUUUCAUUCUUUAUUUUCACAAAUAAUGCAACUAUAUUAUAUAUACCUUAAUGUAAGUAAAUCAUAUGAUAUAUAGGUGGCAUUCUUUGGGCCACUCUACCCCCUCCUGUUUGAUAACUUGGAAACGGUCGAGCUCCCCACCCCUAAACCAUAUGAGGGGCAGAUCCAGGAUUUUAGGUUAGGAGGGGCGCAAACUUAAAUUUUCGCUGAGCAGAGCGAGGCUAAAAAAAAUUGAGGUAAAAUUAUCGGAAUAUUCUUUAUUAAGCUGAGAACAACCCAUGCUUUGCAAAUUUAAGGGGGUGCAAGCCCGCAACCCUCCCCGUCUGAAUCCGCCCCUGCAUAUAUUCAAGUAUAGGACAAUAUGAUAAAUAAAAAAUUAAAUAUAGGGGGAGUCCCUAGGGUCACCCACCCCCAGUGGCGGAUCCAGAAAUUUUCAUAAGUGGGGCCCACUGACUGACCUAAGAGGGGCCCGCUCCAGUCACGCUUCAGUGAUUCCCUAUAUAAGCAACCAAUUUUUUCCCAAAAAAGGGGGGGCCGGGCCCCCUGCCCCCUAAAUCCUCUGCCUACCCCUACCUGUUUGAGAACUUGAAAACCGUUGAGAUCCCCACCCCUAAAUUAUAUAUAUUCAUAUGUAUGGGACAAAAUAACAAAUCAUUUACAUUUACUAUGGGCAAGUCAGUCAGACCUCACCUUUGAUCCCUGUUGUAGUGAACAUUUGUCUGAUUCGUGUCUCAUAACUUUUGUACUAUAGAACACAAACUCAGUUUUCUUUCCAGGGAAACCAGUUCAUUCAUACUAUUACAUGUUCAUACUAAGUCAAAUUGAACUUCUAGCAGUCAAAUAAAACCAAGGUUAACUACCAAGUAGAACAACUGCAAUCAUUGGGAACUUGUACCACUGCAGACUCACCA